rnacentral:lncRNA from 1 species
CUUGUAUGAAGAAGGAGAGUUCAGGGUAUAAACCAAUUCUCACACUAGUGUGACAGAUCCAGGCACACCCAAAGGACGCAGGCACUUGUGUCCAGAGGAGGAACCAGGAGUGCGCAGCUACAUAAGGCCAGUCCCUGGCUCUCAGCUCUCUGGGAGAGGGGACGCCAUGGCUGGAGCCAACAUGAAGGCCCUGACCCUGCUGGCUGUGCUGCUGUGCUUGGAGGAAGCCUGGGCCAUCAAAUGCUACAG